rnacentral:rRNA from 1 species
CCUACGGGUGGCUGCAGUGAGGAAUAUUGGUCAAUGGACGAGAGUCUGAACCAGCCAAGUAGCGUGAAGGAUGACUGCCCUAUGGGUUGUAAACUUCUUUUAUAUGGGAAUAAAACGAGGCACGUGUGCCUUUUUGUAUGUACCUUAUGAAUAAGGAUCGGCUAACUCCGUGCCAGCAGCCGCGGUAAUACGGAGGAUCCGAGCGUUAUCCGGAUUUAUUGGGUUUAAAGGGAGCGUAGGUGGGUUGUUAAGUCAGUUGUGAAAGUUUGCGGCUCAACCGUAAAAUUGCAAUUGAUACUGGCAGUCUUGAGUACAGUUGAGGUAGGCGGAAUUCGUGGUGUAGCGGUGAAAUGCUUAGAUAUCACGAAGAACCCCGAUUGCGAAGGCAGCUUACUAAACUGUGACUGACAUUGAUGCUCGAAAGUGUGGGUAUCAAACAGGAUUAGAUACCCUAGUAGUC